rnacentral:rRNA from 1 species
CCCUUAGAUGUCCUGGGCUGCACGCGCGCUACACUGAUGUGUCCAGUAAGCACCUAACCUCUUCCGAAAGGAACGGGUAACCUUUGCAAAGCACAUCGUGAUGGGGAUAGAUUAUUGCAAUUAUUAGUCUUGAACGAGGAAUUCCUAGUAAGCACAAGUCAUCAGCUUGUGUUGAUUACGUCCCUGCCCUUUGUACACACCGCCCGUCGCUCCUACCGAUUGAAUGGUUUAGUGAGGCCUUCUGACUGGCGCCGCUACUCUGGCAACAGAGCGGCGGAUGCCGGGAAGUUGGUCAAACUUGAUCAUUUAGAGGAAGUAAAAGUCGUAACA